rnacentral:rRNA from 1 species
UACAGAGGUCCCGAGCGUUAGGCGGAAUCACUGGGCUUAAAGCGUGUGUAGGCGGCGGCCUAAGUACCUUGUGAAAUCCCACGGCUCACCCGUGGAACUGCUCGGUAUACUGGGUCGCUUGAGCCACUUAGGGGCUACCGGAACAAAUGGUGGAGCGGUGAAAUGCGUAGAUAUCAUUUGGAACGCCAAUGGUGAAAACAGGUAGCUGGGAGUGUGCUGACGCUGAGACGCGAAAGCCAGGGGAGCAAACGGG